CUUAUACUUCCUCCGUCCGGAAAUACUUGUUAUCAAAAUAAACAAAAAAGAUGUAUUUAGAACUAAAAUACAAUUAGAUACAUCCUUUUUUAUUCAUUUUGAUGACAAGUAUUUCCGGACGGAGGGAGUAUUAG
rfam:Triticum aestivum genome assembly, contig: Triticum_aestivum_CS42_TGACv1_scaffold_147940_2BS